rnacentral:misc_RNA from 1 species
AAGUCGUAACAAGGUUUCCGUAGGUGAACCUGCGGAAGGAUCAUUAUCACGUAUCCACGUUAUAAACCAAACGCGAACUGUCACAACCUUUGGGCUACGGUCGCUGUCAUGAAUUAUGGGUCUAUUGUAUGGUUAUAGACUCUCAUGGCAAUUAAGACUGUUUCUCCGAAGCGUAUUAAUCAUACUUUUAACAAUUAACCACUUGAACACUAUAAUUUUCUUUGUUUGAACUGAUUUGUUUCUUACUCGUUGAGUAAUCAAUGAGAAGAAAUCGAAUACGAAACAAAAAAGAACAACUCUUAGCAACGGAUAUCUUGGUUCUC